AUUGGACAAUGGACGAAAGUCUGAUCCAGCCAUGCCGCGUGAAGGAUUAAGGUCCUCUGGAUUGUAAACUUCUUUUAUAUGGGACGAAAAAAGGGCAUUCUUGCUCACUUGACGGUACCAUAUGAAUAAGCACCGGCUAACUCCGUGCCAGCAGCCGCGGUAAUA
rnacentral:rRNA from 1 species